GACCAGCCCAGCUGCCUGACCCCUCCCCCAAGCCGAGGGCGGCCACCCCGUGGUGCAACUGCCCUUCCACUGAGACUGAGCGGAGAGUGCCAGAUGCCCAAGAGCCACCCAAGAGCCAGCCCGCAUGUGGACUUGUCCUGAAACAAGAGUCAGAGGUCAGCACGGCCCGGGCGCACGCCCGGCCAGCAGAAGGCACCUCACGGCCGCUGUCUCCAAACCCAGCCUUGACUCCCCUGGGCCGCGCUGUCUGUGCAUCCUCCAGUCGCCCGUGGACGAGGAUGCACAGCCUCGGGCCGGGGCGCAGGCGCUGACCACAGUGAGCGACUCACACCCCCAGCUACGAGACGCCAAGGGGACCAGGAAGGGCCAGAAAGGCACAGCUGCGCAGGGGAGAGAGGACAGGCAGGGACCUUGGGAGGACUGCAGCAGCUGCACAGACGACACCUCGGCCCUUGGUCCACAGUGCGACCACAGCUCGGCACCCAAGAGCCGCUGCCAUCGCCCACGACUCCCGCCAACAACAGGGAGUCACCUCCCUGGACCUCGGUGUCCUUCUCUCAAUAUCCACCCAUAAAAGCCAUCUGGUCUCCUGCGCUGGCCCCGAGCGUUGAAAUUGGGCCAUGCAUUUAAGAGACUUCACCCCCAACCCAGCGGCCAUCCAAGGAGCCCUGGUCAUGUACUAACGGAGGCUCCACUUGUGAUGCACAGGACAGCGGUCUGCAUGGCCGCCAGUGCGGUUCAGGAUUCCACAGAUCCAACCCACCUGACCGCUCUCCUGCCCUUCUGGACUCAGCGCCCGAGUCCUCUCGGGGCCUCAGCCUCCCAUCUCCCAGCUGGGGCCUUUCCUGGGCUCUCUGCAGUGAGGCCAAGGAGGUCCCCCUCUAGCGCCCAGUAGCUCCCGCUGACCGACUCCACUACAGGAAAAUGGUAAAAUCCAAUCCCCUGAAGGCACCGCAGAGGGCCGCUGCGGCCUGGGAGCCAGACAAGGAAGGUGAGCGCAUCCCUAGUGAACCUCCCAGCUUGAGCCUCCCUGGAGGCAGGCCCUGAUGGAGGCUGUGAGGGGCAGUUCCAAUGGACGUGGGCAACAACAGCCGCUGGAAAGGGGGGGUAGGAACCCGGAGAGGAGACACACAGGCCUGCCCCAGUUUUUUGUGUCAACUGCCCAAAUAUCUCGCCCACUUCUCAACCUCCGGAGAGCAGACGCCAAGCCGCGGGCUAAGACCGAACUGAGUCUGAACCGCAGUCCACUCCGGGGCCCGUGGGCUGGGAGUGGGGUGAGGUCCGGAGGCUUCGCCAAGUGAUGUCACUGCUAAAAGAAACAAAGGAGGGACCCGUUCAGGUCACACGGGACCCCAGAGUCUGCAACGUAUUUGUACUGUCCAGCACACAAGGCAAAAUCCCUUGGCCUACACAGAGAGAGAGGCCAAUAGAAAAAGAAAACGGUGGAAAGUGGAUCGAGGGUGACUCAGACAUUGACACCAGGGGCCAGUGUUUUAUUUUCUUGAUCCUGAGGAUUGAACCCAGGGCACUGUGACGCUGAGCUACACCUUAGCCCUUUUAUUUAUUUAUUUUUUUGGAGACAGGAUCUUUCUCAGUUGCUGAGGCUGGCCUCAAACUUCCCAUCCUCCUGCCUCAGCCUCUGGAGCCGCUGGGAUCACCGACGUGUGUCAGGCUGCCCGUGGGCUCCGUGGGAGGAGUGCGAUUUGAGGAGCUCUCGAGUGUGAGCAGGUGACUGUAGAAAACCACACCCAGGCUCAUAACCGCCAACUGCUAAGGAAUGGAGGCCCCGGAAACUGGAGAAAGCAGCUACUCUGAGACUGUGUGUCACCCGCAGAGAGACUCGCCGUGGGAAUGGCGCUGGGGGGGAGUCCCAGGGACUCAGCGGGGCGACCUGGUCAGCACUUUGCUGCUCCCGACUUCCUGUUCGCCUAAAGUGUCGAUGGUCGGUCAUAAGAUCGUGGACCUCCGUCUUAGGUCUUCAUCUGGAGAAGUCAAAGGUGAUGACGGUGACGCUGCUGCUCUGGGACCGGGGGUCUCCAUGCCUCCGGGACUCCUCACCCCCGGGCGGCUCAGAGCCACACUUCGGGACACUGAUGUCAGGGGUUGCCGUGGUCCUGUCACAGAUGGGGACCUGGGCCCUGAUUGACAGCCCACCCCAGGGGCCUUGGGGACGAGAAGCCUGUGGUUUGAGACUGGGGGGGAGGGGCAGGGUGGCGGUCACAGGCAGAAUGCCCAGGCUGGAGCCCCCUGCAAGGCCAGGGCUCGGGGCCCGAGGUCACCUACCUGCCGAGGGAGGUGACUGCUCUCCUGCUCCAGCUCCCAGGCUUGGGGACCCCGGUGAGGACGCCGCGAUGUAACACAAACAAGGUCAGAAGCCACGUCCCCAGUGGAGCAGCCGCCCAACGCCCAUCACCCCCACGUCACCCGGUGCACGUCACCCGCCUCACUGUCCAGAAGCCACCCGGGGUGUGAGGUCAGGGGACCUGGGCAGGAACUGGGGACCUGGCAGCCUGUGGGUUGGGAAAAGGAGAAGAGGUGGGGACACGGCCCGCGCCAGGUGGCCACUUCCUCCUGAGACGCAGAGGAGACCCGCUGCCGCGUGGGCAGGUGGGCAGGUGGCCGGCCCGGGACGGCACAGGUGGCCCGCGGACAGGGCACGUGCCGAGCCCCAGCCUGACUCACCCUGGCCACCCACGGGGACGCGUCGGCCACCUUUCUCCCUGGGUUUCCCCCGAGGCACGUGGAGGACAACGGGUGGGGACAGUGAGGUGUUCUCAGAAGGAGGGGACGACCUGCUGCAGGUCGAGUCAGCCACAGGUGGGUCAGGAGACCGGGCCUGGGGGACGCCGGAACAGUGCCACCGUCACUGUCUUCUCCCACCCACUGCCACCGUCACCGUCACGGCCACAGCCACCCUGAUCACCUCCAUCAUCGCCGCCGCGGUUCCCACCACCUCCCCACCAUCCCCCAAGACUGGCUGCUCCUGCCACCUCCAUCACGGUCACCACCGCCCUCGCCGUCCCCAUCGCCCCGUCUCCACGCCUCUGUGUGCUGAACGCGGUCCCCACCACUGUGUCCCCACCACCCCGGCUCCUGGCCCACCCACCGCACCUCGGUGCCCUCCCAGCAGCCCACGGGGGUCCACCUGGUCCAUCCUGACGCGUGAAGCUGGGGAAGAUUCAAAACCCAAGCCGUGACCCGCCCGUCACUCCCAACACUCCACACGGGGUGCGGGUACCACCGGGGACACGGGUUGGGACCCAGUAUGGAAAUACCACUGUUUCUCCCAGCAGCUCAGUUCUGAAGACAGAGAGAGACUCUGCCAAUCCUCUACCCGAGGCUCAGAGACAUCGAGUGUCCUGCUGAAGGUCACACAGCCAGUAACUGCCAGCAUCAGGCAGAAGAGGGUCUACAUCAAACACACCCCCCCCCCCCGUCACACGCCCAGCCUCCGCCCUGGUCACAGAGCAGGGGAGGCAGGUCUUUUGCACACUAUCCAGGUGUGGGAGCCGUGGAGACGCCACUGGACCCCCCUGGAGAGAACCCCCAGGGUUCAGGCAGCAGCCUCCAGCCGCCAGCCUCCACUGGCCUGCUGCUCUUUCCCAGCAUGUAAGCUCUGCCAGGUGCUUCCCAGGCGGCCAUGGCUGGGCAGUGUGGGUCUCCUGUGGGAGAUCCCUGCCCCGGGUUCUCAGUGCCCUGGCGGAGGCUUCUCAGAGCCGCACCCCAGAGCCUCCCUGGGAGCCCUCUCUCCCAGCGUCCGGCCGCCUGCUCUCCAUCGGUCUCUGCCUCCCACUUCUUUCAAAGGCAUUGUCCCCCGAGUCUCCCGGGCCCCAGAUCACAGCCGGGGACUCUCCCCUUCCCGGCCUUGAGCCUGGACUUUGGGCCGACGCCCUUCAACCCUGUGGAGGAGCGUUGGCCACUGUAGCUGGACCCCGCUGUGAGUCAACGCCACGCUGACCCCCACCCGGGGGCUGGCCCUGGCGCCCAUGUGGGGUCCCCGUCCACUGUGGACAGUGGGAGCAGGCCUCGACGUCCUCCUCUCUGAGGAUCACGGCAGCCCUAUGGCUGGGCACCUAAGGGGCACCCGGCGAGGGCGUUGCUCUAGGGAGUGUGGCCUGAGAGGGACAGCGUGACAAGCACUGGGGACGCAGGUGUGGGCCAAAUCAAGGUGACGGUCCCACUGUCCCAGAACUUUGUCUUCUUAAAGCCGAAUCCAAAUCUCUCCGAGAUCCUCAAGAGAAGGUCACGCAAACAAGAUGAGCGUGACUCUGAGACGGAAGACGGAGGCCGCCCCGCGCCACGGUGUCCUUCAGGGGGAACCGACUGGGUUCAAGGGAAGCAGGAAGCCCGGGCAGGGCGGUGGGUGCCCAGCGCUGGCCGUGGGCGGUCUCUCUGGGAAAGCCGGACAGCGACUCAGCGAGCCAAGGUCAAGGGCAUCUUGCUCUCUCUUACAAAGUGUCAUGAUUCCACGUCCAAUGACAUAGACGUCCUCUGAGCGCGCA